AGAGAGAGAGAGAGAGCACCGAAAGAACGACGACAUGGUGAUCAGUUUUUUUUUGCCUUCUGAAAUUCUCUCUCCAAUAAGAUUAAAACACAUGUCUAACAAGGGACGGUUCUUCUAACUCCUAUUUAGGAGACGUUCUUUGUCUUAAUUGCAAUUUUUCUUUUUCUUUUAAUUGUAAUUCUCCUUAAAGACCCAUCUAAGAGACUGGGUUAAUCCUGCUCUAAUGUUGCUUACGUAUUUUGUGUUGUUAUGCAAUUAUCCCUAAAUACCUACUUUAUACUUCGUGUAAAAUGAUAUUUUAACAGCGGUUGAAAUUUUUAAUUGUUUUUGUUCUGGAGUCUGUAGAACUAGAAAAAAUAAAUCUUAGUAGGUUGUUGACAUAAUUUAUCAUUUUCUCUAACUACGUUUCCUACUUUUGUCUUUACUCAUUGGUUUCUUUUUACUUUCUAAUAAUUCCAAAGUUUCCCUUUUCUUUUCCUGUGAUUUUCAUUCUAUAAUUAUAUAUCUCAAUGAGCAUUUUCAACAAUAAUUGAUUUAAGUUUUGUAUUCGUUUGGUAAUUUAUGACAUUUUAUUAACAUAACCAUUUCUAACUUCAUAUCAAUGUUAAAAUGAAAUCUAUAAUUUGUUUUUGUUGGUUCUAUUUCCAAAUUAUAUGACAGCUUAAAAUCUCAUAAACCUGGGUUGAAAAAAGAGAGAAAAACCUAAAAACUCCUAAAACCAUUUUCCCGACAUUUCUAUGCCCAGUUGAAAAAUCGGAUGAAUCUUUUUAAUAAAGUCAAAUGACAAUAUGGUCGAAUGGUACAGUGAAUGUAGAAAAAUGAUAAAUCUUCUAAGUUUGAUAUCUAUUAUUUUAAAUUUAUUUAUUUGUGUGAUCAAUCAAUAUAAAUAUUUAAUUUUCAUUGUAAUUAAUCAGAUCCGACUGGCACUGACAAGUAUCCUAGUUAUUAAAAAAAAAAAGAAUAAAAUAAAGAUAGUUAAUAGUGUGCUCAGACUAGAACCUAGGAGUAUCUCUCAGAAGUCUGAACCAUAUGCUUUACUCAUUGGUUUCUUUUUUUGUUUCUAGUAGUAAUUCCAAAGUUUCCCUUUUCUUUUCCUGCGAUUUUCAUUCUUUAAUUCUAUAUCUCCAGUCAUGUCUGAUGAAUAAAAGUACUGUCCAAAGAAAGUCCAUAACAUCAUUAAUCAACCCAAAUAAGUUCAAACAAAAUGACCAAAGAUGAUAAAAUGUACAUCAUUAUCGACAAUAUACAUAACCUCGUUUCUACUGAAAUCUAGUAGCCUAUUAACCGAAUUAGAUAUCCUUGUCACAUUCCUUGUUGUAUCUAACCUCACCACGGUACUCCUAGUCUGACUUUGUCUCUACUUUGAUUGUACUCGCACUCCAAAAGCAUUACAUCAAUCAUUUUCCUUCCCUUUUAACCGCAAUUCUCCUCGUACUAGUUGAGACCUCGUAUCGUUGCCUCUAUAAAAAAAAACACCAUCGUAGCCACAGGUUCUUCGCUGUGUUUGGUUUAAUGAGACCAACCCCAUAACAUGUUCAAAUGCGAAUGUGAAGACCAAACCACACCAAAUUCCCAAGUAGAUUAGGUCCCAACCAAUUCCAAAAGCAGACCCGCGUACAAUCCAACAGGGACCAAACACACAAUGAGAGACCAAAUACCUAACUUCAUUGUCUAUUUAUCUUUAUAUUACCUUUGUUGGCUCAGCUUGGAACGCUGGUGAUGGAAAGCAAUUUUGUAGCGCCGAGCCCGAUCCUCAGAGCGUGGCAGAGGCUAGAACAGAGUUGGCAAAAUCCAAACAGUUUUUCGUAUUUCAACGAUGUUCAACCUCUUUCUGUUUCCUUCCAAGUAUCAUACUCUGAGGAGCCAUAGAGACAAACAACCAAUAAUAAUUGAGAACAAAGAGAUAAAAUUGAAAGUGUGAUAGAUAGAGAAAACUGUUUAGAUUAACCUAAUCCCUUUUUUUUAAUAGUAAGUAUUCCAUAAUACCUCCUAUCUCCCUUCUGUGAAAUCCCCAUUCAAUAUCAAAAAUCGAAUCCCAUUGAUAACCAAAUUUCGAAUCCAAUUUCUGAGUCAUCAAAAAAAAAGAUCCACAAUCCAUAUAAUCUCUUUAACAUUAUCACCAGAAUACCUUUUGUGAUUCUGUAAUUUCGUCUUGAUGUUGACUAAAUCUAGAUCUCUUUUCUUUAAAUUCGGAUCCGUUCUGAUACUCCCGGAUUCGAGUUAGCAUAUCUAUCUAUCAAGUUAAUUCUUGUUUGCGGAGCUACAUCAAAUUGAUUUUUUUUAAAGGAAAUAUUUUUUGGGUAGACUUAUUAUUUUAAAAUGUUAAAUUAAAUGAUGAUUUGAUAGGUUUAUUGAUAUUUUAUUUUUUCAAGAAGAUUUUCAAUAUUGUGAAGCUUAACUUUAAAAAUCCAAUGUGAUUUCAAUUAUUCUAGACUUUAUUUUUAAAACAUUUGUAUCCUUUAAACAAUGAUUUGUUAUUUUUAUAUUAAUUUUCUAAAAUAGUAUACGGAGUAUUUCUACUAAAUAGACUAUUUUCAAGUUUUUAUCCUAAAAAUAGAUCAUAAAGAAAGAAAAUGACAAAAAUGUUUUAUUUAAUAGGUAAAAAGAUCUUAAUACCUUAGAUAUAUAAAUACAAAUAAAUAAAUAAAAAAGAAAAAAAAUAUAAAUAUUUUUUUUAUAGUUUCAAAUUAUAUGUUUUCAAAUUCGAAUUUUUUUUUAUCAAUUUUUUUUGUGAUUUGAAAUACUUUUUAAAAUUAUUUUUUAAAUCUUUAUUUUCAAAUUUUUAAUACUUACUUUUUAUUUUAUAAAAUUUUAAAACUUAAUCUCAAAUCUCCACCUCUUAACUAAGGUUUGGAUAAGUUAACUCUAAAUGUAUAAGUGUAUAUUUGUUUUUUUAAUGAAAUAUUUUAGUCAUUUUUAUCCUAGUGUAUAUAUGUGACAAAAAAAAAUUUAACGCUAUUCUAGCGUAUUUCUCUAGUAUAUAUUUCACAUUGAUUCUUUUUAUCUUAAAGUUAUGUUUCUUUUAGUGCGUAAGAAAUCUACAUCAACAUUGCUUCGAUUUUGACUAUUAAUAUAAUUUAUGAUUGGUAAAUUAUAGUUAUACAACUAUACGAUUUUUAUAAUAUAAUUAACUUUAAUAUUUUCAUAGCUAUAGUGCUAUAUAAAAAUGUAAUUGCUAUAUUAUAUGAUUUUAAUCAUACAUAUUUUACUCAGAUGUCGGCUAACAUAUUAUAUUAUCAUUUCUAGAAUGGUUAAUUAUGCUAUAAAAAUAUACUUUUAUAGUAGUUAAUUUAAUUUUAAAACUAUAUUUUAUACAAAAACAAUCAAUAAAAAGUAAAAUAUAUAAAAUCUAUAUAAUAAUAGUAUCUCCCCCAAGGCUAUCCACCUAGGCAGUUUUAAAGUUUGUGGACCCCACGUUUUUUUGGUUUGGUUUGAUCACAAGUUUUCGAGUUUUGUUUGAUUAGGGUUUUAUUGAUCUCCUUCUUCGACCCUUCAACGGUCGCGUCUUCGCUGGUUUUAAUCUGCAAUCAGACGAUUUAUUUUCUCAAUUCUUAACCUCUCUUAUGAUGUUGUUUCCCAAUCAGCCAAUUCAUUCUAGACUGCGCCGGCCGUGCCGCAGCACCUUAACCACCAUAAUCUGAAGGUCCAGGCGGUGGUGGAGCUCCGUAAGGCUUCUCCUUUGUCAGCAUGUAGUCCCCUGAUGUAGCAGGCGCGGAAAGAGAAGAAGGAGGAAGUGCGCCGUGGGGCACCGUACGGCGGAUUGUUUCUGCUGAAGGAGUAAGGUGGCGGUUGAUUUCCACCACCGUAGCCCGCUGGAAACGAAAAGGUAAACACUUUGCAAAAGAGAUCGAAAAAAGAAUGAGUUGACAAUAAAGGUCUGUUUCUUUUAGUUUCUGAUAUGUUUUAGGAAAAAGAAACCAAGAAAGAAGCUUUCAGGAAUUAUUUAGAGUUCGGUGGAGUUAGGGGCUUUUAGGAAGUAUUUGUUAUUGAUUCUCUCACCAAAGGUAUUGUUUCUUUUUCUACAUUACACCAUCACUAAAAGAAACUGCAACCGUUUCUGUAUCAAAUAGUUUGAUCGUUUCCUGACAUAAUAAUUUGAUUUAUACUCUUUUGUAUGUUCUGGAACACAAUGUGGGUUUCCAAUUUACUUCUGGUUGUUUUGUAUGAGCAGAAUGACAAGUCUUCCUUCCUGUACUUUGUUUCUAACCAAUAUGUACCCAGGUGAUGAUAGCUUUUAUAACUUAAUCCUAAUAUGACUUAAGGUCAAAGAGUAUAAUUUUUUUAUGAUCUCUAACCAUAAUAUCCUUCUUUCGUUUUGCUUUCAGAUUCAUUCAGCAAAAUCUAGGAGGUCUUUCAGUUUCUGAUUACGAGAAGCUUCAAGCUGAGAAGUCUAAUCUUCAAAUAAAGUAUAUGAGCUAUUUGCUAAACAUCAAGAAACGUUGAGAGAGGUAUCACGUCCUAACUUGAAUAUAAAAGUUCCAUCAUCAAACCAUCUGUAGCUGAUUAGCAAAUCAUUCCAUGCUUAUGUAGUUACUUAUAGUGGCUCUACAAUACACCAUCCAUAAUCUUAAACAUAUCGAUUCAUCCUUGAUAAACUGAAACUACUUGGGGCCAGUAAUAUCGAGUAGCUAACUCUCUCUGUAGCUAAGAUUCACAAUUGAUGUCGUUGUUGUCCUGGUUUCAACUGCGAAGUCACCUUUGAUAAUUUACAUCUUGGUCGCCCUUCUCAACAAGUUUUUGAUGCUCAUCCAUUUUCAUGAUGCAAGGUAUAUCCAAAAGUAUUCAGACUUCAUGUGAAUUAUUCUUCUGCUUCUUGAUGGGAAGGUAUUCGAUCAACAAACUCUUACAUAUCCAAAUCUCGCUUUGUUUCACUGGCCAACUAAUUUUGGCAACUGUUAUUGUCAAUAGAAUUCUGUAAUCCACACUUUCAUCCCUGCAUUCAAUGAUUUAAAACCAACCAAUAUGGUCACCUGUCUAAAAAAAAGACCACCCAUUCGUCAUAGGACGUUUCAUGCUUUCCACAACGAUCACACUAUUUGACAAGUCUUACGGUGAGGGGUUCUGGGGAGGACUCACACUCCACUUGAACAUGAGAUGUUUUCAAAUUCCAGCAUGCUCUUGUAUCUCCAGUGUCCAGCCAGUGCUGUCAACCCCGGUUCAUCGUUGUCAUUUCUGGAGGUAAAGAUAAAAACUAGGAAACAUGAUUCCCCCUUUCCAUUAAGAGAUUUUUUCUACAGAAAAGGGGCAAGCAGCUAAAUUAUAUCUAUAGAAGUAAUUUUUUUCAAUCUCAUGAUCUCUCAUAUUUAUAAUUGAUGCUUCUAUAUUCUAAAUAACGUCUUUACACCACGCUGCAGAAGUUCUGCCAAGAUAUUUCAGCUCAGGAUGGGUAUUUGCUCAGUUUCAUGAACCAGAAGUCGCCCAGUUCUUUGCAACAUUUGGCGCUAACCUCACAAUUGCAUGGAUGGAAGGUAUAUUCUUUCAUAACAUUAAGUUAUGAAUAUUAAUAGCUCAUGCAGAAACUUGAUCGUACACUGAUUCUUUUCGAAAUCUGUAAUAGCUCAGGAAGGUAUAUUCUUUUCGAAAUCUGUAAGCUAUGAAUAUUUGGCUCAAACAUGGUCGUACACUGAUUCUUUUCAUCCCAUGUUUUCCUUUUCACCUUCUUAGACAAUAGGAGCUCGGUAAAGCUUCCAUGAAGCGGAGAGAGCUUGAAUGGUCUGAAGUAAAAAGCAGUCUUGCUCAGUAAUUAACGGCUUCACAGAUCCCAUGUUCUUUGGAUGUGAGUGACAAUGGACGAUUGGAGAAAAAGACAAGCAUCUGGGCGGAGCAGCGAGGGCAAUUAGCGUCACCUCUGCUGUACUAUAAUUAUCACCUCCGCAGACGCCCUGGAGUCAUAAAUACGACGAGAGAAGGAGGAGAACACGAAAGGGGUUACGGUGUUGGAAGGUCAAGCUAAAUUUAGUUGUUACCUAUCACUAUCAGUGUCCACCACCGAUGCAAUGGCCAAUCGAAUCUCAAGUUCAUUUUAAGGAAAUGGUCUCAGUCAUAAGACUGUUAUGAACAAUCGAUUUCAAAAUAUCAACAUAAACUUAGGAUAAUAAAUUUCUCUCGAAUGCAUUAUUUUUUAAUCAAAAUUUGAUCCUUUUCAAAUAAGAUGAGUCAAACCAUAUAUGCAACUCAUACUAUUAAGCUCACAAACAGAAAAGAAGGAAAAUAAACACAAACUACCUUCCUCAUAUAUUUUAGUUUUAUAUAAUGAAAACCUAUUUUAUAGUUACUUAAAUUCCAUAUAGUAAAAAAAGGCGAAUAUUCAUAUAUGCUAAUAAAUGAAGUACGAAAAUAAUAAAAAUAUUCAGUGAAAAUUAGCCAAACAAAAAAAUAUUCUAAAUUUAAUGGGUUAUUUCUGUCAUACCUUGCUCUUGGUGGUCUUUCCUGGCUGCAUGAUCUUAUCCGUCAAGAGAGUACAUUUUAAGCUCUUCAGUCUUUCCCUUAAGAUUGAGUUUUAGUAUGUAGUCUCUUGCUUUGUUUUUGUUCCUUUGCCCUACUGAUGUAAUCAGUUGUUUCAGACGUUUAAAAAAAAAAAAAAAUUAAAAUACAAUGUAGAAUAAAAAAUGCAUAUACACAUAAAAUUGAGCGGUUCNNNNNNNNNNNNNNNNNNNNNNNNNNNNNNNNNNNNNNNNNNNNNNNNNNNNNNNNNNNAGCGGUUCAACAAAAGUUAUAUGAAUUGACAACUAAAAGGGUAGUUUUUUUUUUUUGACAAUACCAUUAACAUCAUACAAAGUUUCAUAAGGAUGAACAAACUAAUCUCCAUACAUGAAAGCAUCAUUCAACUUAGUAUUUAACACUAAAUAAAAGUCUUAACAACAAACAACAAUAAAAAAAAAAACAGUUAAUGUCCAAUUGUUAUACUAUGACAAACUAUAAACAAAUUAUAUAGUCCAGGAAUGAUUUAAGAAAUUUUGGUAUUCAAACAAAAUAAAUAAAUUUCAAAAUUGAUAGGAAUCAAUAAAAAAAUGUAAUUGUGUUUGGCAUAUUAUGUUUGUGGUUAAUGUUGCAGUUGGAGUAAAGAGCUUGCAUUCAAUUCGAAAGAUGAUGCAACAAGACGACCACACAAUACUUGUGGAUCUUUCUCCGGUAAAAGAAAAAUAUAAAAGUCAAUAACCCCGCGCUUUCGCGGAGACUCCUUCCCUGUAUAAAAAACAGAUCACUAUCUAUUUAAGAAAUCUAAACAAUAAAAUUAUUAAGUUACACAACAUACAACACUAAAAUUUAAAUCAUAUAUUUAAAACGUAAGAUAAUAUCAAAAUUUACAAAAAAAUAUUCGCACGGACGUGCGGCUUCAAACUCUAGUUGCUAUUAAAUUUAAUAUGUAGCAUUUAAAUUCAGUAGACAAUUUAAUUAUAUGCUUUUACCAUGUUUGAUACGACAUGGAAUAAGAGAAGUAAUUACUAAUAGUGAACGAACAUUUGAAAAUAAAGUUAAGGUGUCGGAAGCUCACAGUUAUAACAUAAGACAUUGGUCCAAACAGCAUCAGUAGUUUUUUUUAUCUACACACAUUGAGAAACCAACAAAGAAUUUGGUAUGGACUAAUCACAAGUUUUCUGGGGUUUUAGGAAUUAUCAAUGAAAGAUUUGACAACUUUUUAUUGAUUUUAGUUAUGAGAAAGAGGGAAGUGCCUUAUAUAAGAAAAAUUGUGGCCCCAAUGAUAUCUACUUUUGAAAGAUUAUGGAAAUUUACUUUUACUAUGUCGUUUUUUGCUAUUUUAAUUUUAGGGAUUAAGAAAAAAUAAAUAUCAAAAUAACAGUGUUUUUUUUGUUAAUAUUACUAUUUUUCUUUUGAUUUUCUAUUUUACUAUAAUAGUUAGCAUUUUUAAGUAAGUUGUAAAAUGUUACUAUUUAUUUUGUUAGUUUAAAUAGAUUUUUUGGUUUUAUUUUAUAGUAAUGUUUUAUUUUGUGUUUGUUAUUUUAACUAUUUCAAUAUUAAUUUACCAUUUUAUUUUGGUAUAAAAUGUAUUUUGAAUUUUAUUAUACUUAAGAAGAUAUAUUCUUUUGUUAAUAUUACUAUUUUUUUUUUUAAUAUAAUAGUUUUUUUUUUUUUUUGGUUUAACCUGGGCGUAUCCCAGGCCGAGGUCCAGACUAAUCCCCAAUGGGAGGUGCGGCCCACGGAUGGACCAUCUCUCCGGGUUUUCAAAUGGGACCUAAAGCAUAGGCCCAUAUCCGCGUGGCCCGGCGUAGAGGUAAAUCUGAGGGGGAGGUUCGAACUCGCGGCCCUUAGGACCAUUGCGAGCCGCCUCACACCACUCGACCACCAACGUCGGGUUAAAUAAUAUAAUAGUUAGUAUUUUUUAAGUAAGUUGUCAAUGUUAAUAUUUAUUUUGUUAGUUUAAGUUAUAUAUAUGUAGUAUUAAUUUCGUUCUUUUAUAUAUUUUGGAAAGAUUAACAUUCUAAAAAAUAAUAAAAGAUUUGUCAUAGUUUGAUUAGAGGUUUUAAAUUUUAUGCGGACACCUUUAAUAGGUUAUACCCUCAAUUUUCCAUAAACCGAGAAAUCGGCGUUGCGGAAUUUAUCACACAUGGUUAAUUGGGAUUUUUAAAACCUUAAACCGGAUUCUGCUUUGUGGUUAUAAAGUUUAACGUGAGCCCAUCAACCCAAUAAGCACAGCUAAAAUUUAUGUUUAAUUAUAGCAUUAACCCUAGCGGUAAAAAAAAAUAGAAAAAUUCCAAUUCUACCAAGAUCUUCAAACCCUAGCUGGCGAACCUUUAUCUCUGUCUCUGUUUUUGUCUUUCCUACUUAUAUAUCUGAAAAAUAGCCCCUGUGAAUUAGACAUAGCUAUGGUUAAUUAUCUGUUGAGAAGAAGAUACGUGGCUCCAGAGAUUUCUUUUGAUCUCAUGAUCGAAAUCCUGAGUAGAUUGCCUGCUAAAUCGCUUAUGAGGUUCAAGUGUGUCUCAAAGCUAUGGUGUUGUCUGAUCCGCUCUUGAUAUUUUAGCAACCUUUAUCUCAUGGUCUCAUCAUCGCAACCGCGACCACUUGGUCUAUACAUGAGUUUGUAUAUGAGUUUGGAUUUGGUGAGACACUACACGUGUGAUUCAAUGGAGAUGUAUGAACUGCUAUAUCAUUAAGGUUAAUGUCGUCUAGUAGUAGUGCUGAAUCAUCAUUAGAACCAGAUUUGACUUUCCCAGGGAUGGGAGGAUACAGUAUGGUGUCUCUUCGCGGUUUGAUUGUAUUCACUAUUUGCAGAAAAGCAUGUAUCUAUAAUCCCGCCACUAGACAGAGUUUAACCUUACCCACCUUCAAAUCUAACCUCUUUGCGCAACAAGAACCUUAUAAGCAUGUCCACUACUUUUUCGGACACGAUCCUGUUCUUGAUCAAUACAAAAUAGUCUGUAGUGUUAUGAUAGCCUCGUCAUUCUCUGAGAUGCUAUUCUCCGAGUUUUGGGUCUUCGUAUUGGAACCCGGAGGUUUUUGGAAAAGAACCGAGUAUGAUGCUCAAGCUCACCUUCCUACAAGACAAGGACUCUGCAUCAAUGGAGUUAUAUAUUAUCUGGCUUUCAAUCAUACACGUCGCUAUCACGUUUAUUGUUUUGACGUUAGGUCUGAAGAUAUCCGUGUGAUCCAAGCACCCCAUGCAGUGCCUCAGUUUUGUACUUCCUUUGGUUUCAUAGAGCAUGGUGGAAAACCAGCAAUCUUUGACUAUUCACGUAUUACAGAAACGGGUGUCUCGGAGUUGUGGGUGUUGGAGGUGGAUGGUGGAAUAUGGUCGAGAAAAUCUCUGGUUUUGAAGCUUUGUCAGAAGCAUUUAGUGGAUGACAUUGACCAUAAUAAGAAGUUGAUUGUUCAUGGUACGGGUGAGAACAAUGAGGUUAUCUUGGCGUUGACUUGUCCUUGUUACCUUCUCUAUUACGAUCUGAUGAAGAAUGAUGUGAGGAAGGUUAAUAUCAAUAGAGUGACAACGCCGCAUGUGUGUAUCAAGGUUCUGGAUAAGUGUGAAAGCAUCAUGCACUUGGAAAUUUGAAUAAAGUUUCUUCUAUAUCAUUAUCUAAUUGUGUUUGUCUAUGAUAAUACAGUUGAACUAUUUUUUUAAUAAUAUUUUUUAUUUUAUUUGUUUUGCAAACAAACAAAACAAUAGUUGAAUCUCUGCUUUUUUUAUUGUUUAAUAUCAUAAAAAAAGAUUGGAAUAUGGGUGGAUUUUUGAAGCUUUGAUGCUGAUGAUCCAUUAGCUGUAUAUAAUGCGGUUUUUUUAGGUAUCAAAUCCUGGUUUGAGUACAUGUGAGGCUCCUACUGUUGUCAGGAGACUGCUAGCUCUCAACACACACAUGAGCUUACAAGUUACAUCCAUGAAUUCAUAUUUUUAUUUGUCUCAUGUGAAUUCCCUAAAACAAACAUUUCAUUUGUUGUUAUUGAUCCGCAGAUCCCUGCCUCGUUUCGAGUCAGAAGAGAAUCAGCAGUUGUAACCAACCAAAGCCAAAGAAAACUUCAGUAGCCACGAGCUUGAGUCUUACACCAUGAGCUAUGGCUUAUGCUGCACCUGUGAAGGUUGAGCCAGCCAAGACAUCUGCAGCUUCAAAGCCACAGAGUAUUGUUGAUUCUUACACAGCCUCCUUAGAGGAUAUGACAGCUCAAGGAGCACUUGACGGGUAAUCUUUGGGACUUAUGGCCUUAAAAACAAAGUUAUUUUUGUGUGUAAUGCUAUAUGCCUAUAUCAAACUAAAUGGGAGAUUUUGAUUAUGACUUUAGUGGAAGAAUUCAAGUAGGACUAUGAAUAUUAAGUAAUAAAGUUAUUUUUAGUCAAAUUUGUGGAUUGUUCAAGAAUGAUUUCUGAUUUCGAUCCCAAAUAUUUUUCUGGUUAUCGCCUAAUAAUUUUUUUCCUUGAGAAAUUUGGUAACUUGUUUUAGCUGUAUAUUAUGACAUAUGUAAUAUUCAUAUUGAUUACUACAUUUCAUUUAUUGUCUUGCCAAAAUAGUAUGAAAGAUAAGUUGUACAGAUAAAUUCAUAUGCGAAAUAAAUUUACGAAUUUUAAAAUAUUUACAUGAACGGUUGAAUAUUCUAUAAAUCUCUAAUAUAAUUUUCGUACACUAAUUAUCAGGAGAAUGUGAUAUUUUGUGUUAUUUUGCAUUUUAAUAUGAAACAUAUUUUAUUUAGUUUUAUGAAAAAUAAUCAAUAAACCGCAUCUUAACUUAUCUAAAACAUAUGCAAUUGUAGUAAACAAUUUUAUGAAUGAUUAUAUAUUUAUAUGACAGCGUAUGAGUAAAAAUGAUAAUAAUAGAUGUAUAUGCACGUAAAAUAUAUAUUCAUUGACAUUUAUUCAGAAACCAUGAUGCAAACCAUAAAUAAAACACUCACAACUAUCAUAUUAAUAUAUCUAAUACAAAACAGUACUCACCUAUUUUUAAGUGAUUUUUUACAUUUUUUAACUAAUUUAAACCACUUUAUUUAUUGUUUUUCCUAAAUAAUUCGAUUAUAUUUAUUACAAAAUACAAAAUAGAACUUAUCUAUUUUAAGUAUUUUUAUAACAUCUUUUACAUUUAUUUUUUCAUUUUUUCUAAUUACUUUAUUAAUUAUAUUUACCAUAAUAAUUAGACAAUAUUAUUUUACGUAUUAACCAAAAUAAUUUCGUAGGUUUGAAUGAAAUUGAUUCAUUCAUGACAAGAAUUUAACUGGUUAAUAAUUUUUAUUAUUUGUUUAUAAAAUCAGUUAUACGUGGGCAUCCAUCCAAGUAUCCGUUCCGGAUCAUUUUUUGAAUAUCGGAUUUUUGGGUUUAAAAUUAAACUUUGUUCGAAUAUUAUAAAUUUUCGGAUGGGGUUUGGACUCGGAUCCUUCCGAGUCCGAAUAGGUUUGUAAAAACUUAAAAAUAUCCAAAUAGCUUAUGUGUUUAGAAAUUUCAUUAAAUAAUUUAGAAAAAUAUAACAUUAGCUAUAGUAUUAGUUAAACAAAAAUAGGUCUAAACAUUGGAAAGGAGAAGUUAUGUAGAAACACCUUUACAUUGGAAAAAAAUGUUUUUGCAACCAAAAUCAAAUAUUAGAUACUGCUAUUAACAAAUCGACAAAUUUAAGAUAUACUCUCUAACUAAAAAAAGAAGCACUAACAGAUUCCAAAUCUCCGAAAAAUACACCUGUAUUACCUCAUGAUUUUUCCUAAUAUAGAAAUUUAUUUUAAGCUAAAACCUUUCACUAAUAACAACCUAUAAACAUCUUUUAAUUAUUAAGACAACAACGACCACCCAAAGACACAUAGAAAAGAAAUUCACCGACUGUAAAGAAAAACAACACACAACAAUCAAUCAAAGAAAGCAGACACAUCUUCGAGAUCAAACAAAACCAAUCUCAUUCAUCGUCGCCUUCUCAACAUGGCCGGAAGGGCAGCAAUGCUCGUUAACCUCGGGACGGUUGUAAUGACCGUUUUGACCCUGGCUAGUUUUGUCGAAGGCUUCGGUGUGAAUUGGGGUAAUAUCGCAUCACAUCCGCUGAAUCCUGAUAUUGUUGUUAGGAUGCUUAAGGAGAACAAGAUCAAUAAAGUGAAGCUUUUUGACGCUGAUUCAUGGACGAUGAAUGCUUUGGCCGGUUCGGGCAUGGAGGUUAUGGUCGGAAUCCCUAAUAACCUUCUUGAAACUCUAGCUGAUGAUUACGGUAAUGCUAAAGAUUGGGUCAAAGAAAAUAUCACUGCUUACAUGCGCAAGGAUGGCGUCAACAUCAAGUAACUUUACUAACAUAUUUUAAAAUUCAUUAGACGUUAAUCCGAUGUUGGGAUCAGUCUUGUUUCAGUUAGAUAUAUGUCUAGACAACAACUUAAACCAAUUAAUUAAUCCUUUUUUAUCUGAUUGAUUUAAAUACCGGAUUUGAGAUCAUCCGUUUUUAGGUGAUAGAUGGCUUCUGCGACGUUUAUAUCCUAACUUUUAUUUUGUUUAAAACAAGUAGAUAAAUUGUUGAAAACAAAAGCCAUGAAGAAAACAAAAACACUCGAAUAGAAAAUAAAUAAAUACUUGUACCAGAGUUUGUAUAUUAAUUAUGUGGAUAUAAUAUUUAUAAUUUCUUGGAUAAAUAUUCAUAUAGCCUCAAAAUCAGAUAUAUAUUUUUAUGAGUUUUUUUUUAUAUACUAAUGAUUAUUUUUUCUAAUCUUAAAAGACAUAAAUAUGUUUCGGACUAAUUCAUUCACAUGAUUGCCAUGCUAUAUAGGUACGUGGCUGUGGGAAACGAGCCGUUCUUGUCAGCAUACAAUGGAUCGUACUUAAAAACAACGUUUCCAGCUUUAAAGAACAUUCACAGAGCGUUAAAAGAGGCCGGACAUACCGAUGUCAUGAAAGCCACGAUCCCACAAAACGCUGAAGUUUACCAAUCAGCUAACGACAAGCCAUCAGAAGGCGAUUUCCGCAGCGAUGUUAAGCAAAUAAUGCUCGACAUCGUCAAGUUCUUCCAUGAUAAUGAUUUGCCUUUCACCGUCAACAUUUACCCUUUCCUUAGUCUUUAUCUGAACCAACAUUUUCCCGUCGAAUAUGCGUUUUUCGAUGGUAAUGGUCAGACCAUUCCUGAUAACGGAAAGAAUUACGAUAACGUGUUUGAUGCGAAUUACGACACGCUGGUUUACGCGUUGAAUAAAGCUGGGAUUAAAGAUAUGAAGAUUAUCGUUGGAGAGGUAACUUGAUAAGCAAGUUAUUGAUUAUUAGAUAGGUGUAUUAAGAAUAUUGAGAGCGUUUAUUGAAUCUGCUUAUUUAUUUUUCUUUUAUGUAUAGGUUGGAUGGCCAACGGAUGGUCAUAAAUAUGCGACGCCGAAGCUAGCAGAGAAGUUCUAUGCAGGACUUAUGAAAAGACUUGCUAAGGACGUUGGGACUCCACUGAGACCUGAGAAAUUAGAAGUUUAUCUCUUUGGUUUACUCGACGAAGACAUGAAGAGUAUUCUUCCUGGACCAUUCGAAAGACAUUGGGGAAUCUUCAGGUAAUAGCUAUUCAAACGUAUAUAAAUCGAGUUUCUUAAGUUUUUCUUAACUGAUUUUGUUACGCUCUAAUAGUCUAAUAGCAUGCAUGCGUUACAAAUCAUUACGGCAAUCAUUUAUCAAAAGAUUCAAAACCAGUUCUAGCAUUUAGAGUAUUUUUGCAGAAACUUUUUAGUGUUUGAUGUGUUUCCUUGUUCUGUUAUUUCACUAUUUCGAUGUUCUAUUAUUCCACUCAUCACAUUAUCAUCAUUACCAUUCUUUAUACGUUAAAGCUACUAUUUUAUAACCACUUAUGUUAUACUAUGCUUAAACUAUACAACAAAAAAAAUUAUACUAUGCUUGUAUUAAGAUAUAAUGAGGAAAAACAAAACAUUUUUUUUUUUGAAAAACAAAACAUCAUAUAUUGAGUUCUCGUUAUAUUCAAUAUAUUUUCAACAGAUAUGAUGGAACACCGAAGUUUAUGCUAGAUUUCACGGGACAAGGACGCAAGAUCGUACCCGUGGCAGCGAAAGGUGUGCAAUACUUAGAUAAGCAAUGGUGCGUUGUGAACAAAGACACGAUCAAUCUAGAUGAAGUUGGUCCGGACCUAGACUAUGCGUGUUACCAUGGUGACUGCACCGCGAUGCUUUACGGGUCCACAUGUAGUAACCUCGACAAAAUCCAAAACAUAUCAUACGCAUUUAACAUGUUUUUCCAGAUUCAGGGCCAAGACGUUAGGGCUUGUGAUUUCAGAGGAUCUGCUAUGAUUACUAAGAACAAUGCAUCCGUCGGAAGUUGCUUGUUCCCUAUUCAGAUCGUCAGUGGAAGUGGUGAUUUCAGGAUCAGCUAUGUGUUCGGAAGAUUCAUUGUCGCUGGACUUAUUCUUCUUGGAUUAGUCACAGCUAUAUAAUUUGUUUGCUUGUUUUUUCACAGUUUUGGGAUACUUACUAUAUUCGGUUAAUUGUUAUAUGUUUGUUUGAUAACAUUUGAGUUAGUACUCCUAUAUGUUUAAUAGAUUGACAUAAUCAAAUCAUAUCUCGUUUAUUGUUAUUUUUCGUUUGAGUUUUUUUAAUAGUUUUUUUCGUUUGAAGGUAGUAUGAAUCAGAUAAAAGUUCUAAUUAAAGUUAGUAUGAAUCGUAGUACAAAAUUAGAAAUAAUACAAAAAUUAACAGAAAAGCUAGGUUGGAUUCUUUGUUUGAGAUGGGGUAUCGAUUCCAUAUAGGACUUCUCUUGAAAAAAUCCAAGGUUGGAUCAUCGUAUAUCUUGGAUUGUAAACACUUAACAUGUGUUACUGAAAAAAAAACAAAUAUAACCAUUUGAUAUAUUAGGUUUAAUAGCUGGUUGUGGCUAAUCUGAUAACCAUAUGUUUCAACAUUUGUUAAUAAGAAUUCUAGUAUUAAAAUAAUUAUUGGUUUCAUAAGAAUCGAUAUUUUAUAUAUUUAUUGACAAUUAUGAUGUGUUUUCUAAUGCACUUCUAUAUGAUAUUUUAUUUUUGAUUAGCAUCGCAUAGUAUAUACACAAAUAAGAAAGUAAAUUACAAAAACAUUUAAUAAUUUAUUUUGUGUAGAAAUUUUCAAAUCUAUUAUAAAACCGACGAAAAAAUCAUAGAUUGUAAGCGCUAACUUUAAAACAAAUGUUUCGGUUUAAUAAAAAUCAAACUUUGGAACUUUCUUCCAAAUUAGAUUUCAAGGAAUAUAAGUAUCACUGUUAUAUAAUAAAAUAUAGUACUUUUUAGCAUAAAGAAAGAUGCACUUAUUUUUUCUAAUAGGGUCGGCGUUCAUGAAUAUACACCUCUAUCACUUUCACUCUUUUUUUUUGCCGGCCUCCAUCGCUUUCAAAAUUAAAAGCAAUACAAAAAAAAUUAACAUAUGUAAUUUCAUUUGAACCUCACACUGGCACAUUCCUUCACUCUUGACCAGCCGCCCGCCUGUUUCAGUCCUUCCUUGACAAUAUAGGAUUUUUUUUCCUCUGCUUAAACUUACACAUGACUCAUAGUUUCUAAAGACCAUCCUAUUUCAGUUAAAGAAAACCCUACAUAUUACUAGAUGAUUUCAAUAUUCUUAACCAUUUGCAUGUAAUCUUUAUACGAUAUUACAUCACAUGAAUUUAUAACAAAGCCAUAUCACAUAAUAAAAAGCCACAUCACAUGUUUUCUGUUAAUAUUUAUGUUUUAACACAAUAAAAGCAACUACUAUAUUGUGGUUAAAAACAAUUAAUAGUGGCACCAGGAAAUUUCACCUUACCUUCAAGACAAGAUUAAAGACCAAUUUGAAUCGUUGACUUAGGAAAUUUUGGUCACUGUGGGUCAGUGAGUGUAAUAAUAUAUCCUCGAUACCUUGCUUAGCUAUGAGCCAUAACUUUUGUAAGGAAACACAACGAAUCAUAAGAAAACAGAUGUAAUCUUUUGUCAACCAUGUCCAUAAGAAACACGUUUCCUAUCAAAAAUGGACAGGAACUGUUUGAUUUUUAAGUUUUUAAUUUUUUUGAAACAUAUUGAUGUAUUUAAUUAUGGUACAAUCAGUCUAUAGGUAACCAUUCUUUUACAUUUGCAUAAAUAGAUUGGACCGGAUAGCCAAAAUUUUUGCUUAAAAAAAUUUUUAAACCAAAGUUAGGCCAGACACUCAAACUUAAGCUUUAUCACAGUAUCUCUAAAAAACAUAGUUACAUUUUCAGAAUCCACGUUACCGAACACUAACUAUGACGUCCGUGGACCUUAUGCUCGUACGGGGACCUCAAGCUCUAUAUCCAAAACUCAUUACUUAAACCGAAGCUUACUUUUCACCACCAUGGAUAGUCUCUCCAUACGUCAUUAGAAUGACGUCAUCUUCCUCUUCUUUCACACGUGGUGCUGAAGCACCUUUCUAGUAACCACGCUGAAAUUGCUUGUAAAUGUUUAUUAAUCUUAUCUCUUAAUUAUCUUUCCUUACAACAUAAAAAUAAAAACUUUCGUAAUAUAUUUGUAAGUUUAUCAGUGAAAGAUGCUGAGACGAAGGACCCGCCGAGUCAUCGAGUUGCAUUUAGUACGAGAUCAAAGAUUGAUGUGAUGGAUGAUGGUUAUAAAUGGAGGAAGUAUGGGAAGAAAUCUGUCAAGAACAACAUUAACAAGAGGUAAUUAAUUAAUAAAAUAGUUUAAUUGCUCAUUUCAUCUCAUUAAGUUGUUGAUUUAUAAUAUUUUAUUUAGUUGUUUUUAGAAAUUAACAUGUGGUUGAUUGAACAUUUUCUAUCAUCAUCUUAUAAAUCUAGUGUUAUAGAAUGAUGACUAAUUAAUUAGAUCACAUAGUGUGUGAUUUGAAUACUGUUUAAUGGUCUUUUAUUCAGGUCCGUCUCAAGUAUUGUAUGGGCCCUGCUUAUAUUAUCUACCAACCCACUUCACUUGUAUCAAACUACAUAUCACACAUAUGCAUAUAUAUUUUUGUAUGUUUUUGUUUUUAUACAGACAUACCUUUGUAACUGAUUAGUGAUAAACUGACUAAAAUCCAUGGGUCAUUCAUCAUCUAGAUCUUAUUUUGGCUCAUGUAUCAUAGAUAAAAGCACAAAAAACAAAUCGCCCACAUGUGUAUAUUCAAUACAUAUAUGGAGAUCAGUCUGGAUUUUUUUUAUUUAUAAAAGUAACUAAGCUAAUUAAGGGUGAAUGAAUGGUGUGAAUAUGUAUAUAGGAAUUAUUACAAAUGCUCAAGUGAAGGUUGCAUGGUGAAGAAUAUGUAUAUAGGAAUUAUUACAAACUAGAUAAGGCCCGUGCGUUGCAACGGGUUUUGUUUGAUGUUUUAAUAAAAACAUAAAAAUAAUAAAUCAUUUUAUUAUAGAUUGAGGAUUUUUUUUUUUGUUUGCAUAAGCUGUGAGAUAUUUAUUUAUAAUUACAAACUCAUUUACACACAUAAAUCCCUAUUAGUAUUUGUAUUUAUAAUCAUGGUGCAUAGGUAAAUUGUUAUCAACUUUGUAUUUAAGGUUAGAGAAAACACUCAUACCUAAAAAUUUAAACCAAACUCAACCAAAGUAAAAAUUAAAAUGAAAAAAUUGAAAGCUAAAUAAGGUCAAUCUAGUUAGUGACAAUAUUAUACGGGAAAUUACCAAAAAUACCACAUUCUUAAUACCACUUUUGUUCUCACUUUUAAAAAGAAAAAAAAAACACUUAUAAUCCUAAGGUUAACUAAUCUAGACUAAGGGUUUAGAAUUGAGGGGGUGGGGUAGGUUUUAGGAAUAUGAAAUUUAAGAUUCUAAUAAAUAUAUAAAUAAAUAAUUAAUUUGUUUAAAUUUUUUUUGUGUUAACUAAAUAUAGUUAACUCAUAGAAGUUAACAUAAAUAUAUAUAUGUUAACUAAUACCGAGAUUCAUAAACUUCAUUAUUCAUUUAAGAAUUUUCAAUCAUAUGGCCAAGAUUAACCGAGCAACCAUUAUCAUAGCUGAAACUAAUAGAAAUAAUAAAAAUUAGUAUAUUAAAUUUUCUUCAACUAAUUAGAGUUAACUAAUAAAAUAAACAUCCAAAUCUUUUUAUUAGAAUUUAGUUCAGAAGAUGCUGAUUCAAAAAUUACACUUUGAUAUCUCUUGCUAAAAGACUUUCAUGAUAAUAACAAUACUAUCACAUUUCACAGCGCGAUAUAUAUCUUCAAAUAGUUAUACUUGUCCGGCUCACAAUGUUGCUUUUAUUUCAAUUUCAAUUUCACUAUAUAGAAUAGAGUUUUUGUAGAAAAAAAGGAAAAAAAACUGAAAUUGCUUAAUGAAAUUGGAUUAAUAAUUCAUAGAGAAAAAAUGCUACAGUUAUUUAUAGAAAAAUAUCUCUUUAACAAUUAAGUUAGAGUAAUUAUUUGAACAUCGGUUUUUUCAUAUUAUUGAUAUACUAAUUACACAUCUGUAACAAAAAAGGUUAUAUAUAUAUAUAUAUAUAUAUGUAUAUAAAUGCAUGAAUGUUAUCAUCAAAUUAAUAAUUUCUUGUAUCUUUAAGUUGAGCAAAAUCUUUGUAGUUGAAAUCAAUUUUUUUUCACAGAGUAUUUGAGGUAAUGGUUGUUUCACACAUAUGCAGUUGUUGUUCUCUCAAUCACUCUUAUCUGAAAUUUAUGAUCGGAGACUUUAUAGUUCUUACUGUAAUCCUUUCAGUUCCAAAAAAAAGAAUAAUUGUAAUCUUUUUUGGAUUAUGAUUUCUUAAACAUAAAAUUUACUAUUUUAAUAAGAAAGUUUAUUAUUAUUUGGAAAUAUUUGAAAUACUUGUUUUACAUUUUUUGUUUAGAUUUGAAGAAAAAAGAAAACUACAAUUAAACAGUCUUUAACAAUUUUAUUUUGUAGAAGAUUUUAUAAAAGGAUAAUUACUAUCAAACAAAUUUUUACAAUUAUAUUUUAUUUAUGAUUUUAGAAAACGAAAAUUAGUAUUAAGUAAAUUAUUAUACUUUUUUUUGUUUAAGAAUUGUAAAAAGGAAAAAAAAAUUAGAAAAAGGAAAUUAUUGUCAUAUCGAACUCGAUCGGUUUCUAAUCUCGAUUUUGAUCUUAGAUUAUCACUCUAGCUUGAUCUCGAUCUAUUUCAUAGUUAAUGGAUGGUUGUGUUCGUCUUUGUAUGUAGUGAACCCGGAUCGUUUUCCUUCAAUUGGAGGAAGAAGAUCGCACCACCAAGGAGCUGUUGGUGGUUAUUCUCCUCCUCUUCGCCGGAAUGUCACCGUGCUUCCAGAUAAAGGUAUAUCUCCAAUCUUUUGAAAACUAUCUUUUAGAUCUGAAGAAUUUGUACUAGUCUGGUUAAAUUAUCUCUAGAGUAUCCCGGUUGGUGUCAUAUAUAUUCUUAGAUCUGACAUUUAGAUCAUCUCUGAGCUGAGCUAGUUCAAUUUCAUAUUCUCUUCGUAUGCAGUGACGAUCAUGGAUCGUUUCCCAUCUCCAUUAUUUAGUAGUCUGGUUAAAUGAUAUGUUAUAGUAUCUCGAUUGGUUUCAUAUAUACUCUUAUACUCUUAGAUCUGACAUUUAUAUAAUCUCUGAGCGAGCUCAUCUCGAUCAGUAUCAUUUUUAAUGAUUCGAGUUCUCCUCUGUACGUCUUCUUCUUUUUUGAUUCAUUUCUUAUUCGUUUUGAACAAUUGUAUUGAUUAAAAUUGUUGUUUCUUCUCUUUGUAGGAAACCUGAAAGAUGCUUCUUGGGAAACUUGAGAUUCUUCGUAUGGAACACGUUUUACUCUGCUUGCAUAUUUUUUUGCUGAACGUUAUAAGAGCAUGAUUAACCCAUAACUCCAUUUGGGUCUCUUAUUCAUUAUUUUAGUAAUUAAAACUAAUUAAGAAUCUUAGUUAAGAGCUGCCUUGAUUUUGGAUCUCCAAUGGUAAACUCUUAUUUUGGGGUUCUUAAAAAAAAAAAACUUUGUGUAUUAAACACCAUUAAGCACAUUCUUAUCUUACUCGUGAGAUAAUAGCAGUUCCAGAGUAACCAAGUUUUGAGAUGCUACACGACCAGAAACUAUGAUCAUAGCCAUCACUAAGAGCUUUUUUAACUUCCUCAACAUCCUUCACCUAACAUUAGUGUAAUAGAUGUAUUUAGUACACAAGAAUUUAAUCCUUUUAAACAUAAGAAAGGCUAAUGUUAUGUAAUGACCUAGAUCUUUGCCUCGUGAAAGCACAACACAUCAAAGUUUUCUCUUUGCGCAAGUUGCAGAGGAUAGAAGCUCUCUAGCUUCAACAAUGCUCUCAAUCCAUUAACAUUCCAAGUCAUAAUCUUUACAGACUUGGUACCCUCUGGGAGAGGAGGAGGUCUCAUUGUCAUUGGGUUAUAAGCUUUAUAGUCUUCCUCAGGCUUCUUAUGGGCAAGUAUCGUCCAUGGUUCACUUUGAAUUGAGGAUUUGAAUUGAGGAUGAUAUGAUUUAAUCGGUUCUGAGGACUUUGCUAGAUACGGUCAAUGACGCUUCUUCCUCUUUUAACCGAAGCUUCUGCUUACCUAAGAAGAUAAAGCAACACAUAGUGUUUCAUAAUACUCUAUGUAGAUUGCCAGUAUAUAGUACAAAGUGUUUACUUUUUCUGUAACACAUGACAAACCUGUUUUGGCUAAUGACUUUUGUUCACUAGUUUUUGAAGAAACUUUGGCAUUCAAUUUUUUCUGAGUAGACUGUUUUACUCUUUUUUCUCCAUGGUCAUUGCCAUAAGCAUCAGAGCUAAUGCAGUCAUCUUCUGUAGACUCUUCCUUGCUUCUGAUCUUUCUUUUGAUGGUCACACUUUCUGAGCGAGUGGAUGAAGUAGUUUCCUUUAUUUCUUCACCAGAACUUUCAUCUGUAACAGAUAAACAAGGCAGAUCUUACCAAAUAGCAAAGCUAUAGGAAGUCUGAGACUUUUCAAUCUACUUCAAAUGGAACAAGCGGGAACAACUACUUAAAUGCAAACAAGUCCACAUUCUUUUUUUAAUGUGUAGUUACAUACCUUGUAAAUUACUGUCCAUAUGAAGUCGUAAAGCUGAUAUAAGUUCCUUUCUUGUUUGCUUAUCAAGUAGAACGAUUCGCCAACACAUGCGAUUUUCGUAAUCAACAGAGAGAGAGAGAUAGAGAACGAAAACAAACAAAGUCGGUUUUUUUUUUUCCCUUCUCAAAAUCUGAAUACAAUCACAAAACAACAAACUUUGUACCUUUCGAUUCACAGAACAAAAGCUUGAUUCGAUUCUAGAUGCAUGCGAUUUUCGGGAGAAAAGGAGAGAGAGAGAGAGAGCACCGAAAGAACGACGCCAUGGGGAUCAGUUUUUUUUUGCCUUCUGAAAUUCUCUCACGACGACAUGGUGAUCAGUUUUUUUUUGCCUUCUGAAAUUCUCUCUCCAAUAAGAUUAAAACACAUGUCUAACAAGGGACGGUUCUUCUAACUCCUAUUUAGGAGACGUUCUUUGUCUUAAUUGCAAUUUUUCUUUUUCUUUUAAUUGUAAUUCUCCUUAAAGACCCAUCUAAGAGACUGGGUUAAUCCUGCUCUAAUGUUGCUUACGUAUUUUGUGUUGUUAUGCAAUUAUCCCUAAAUACCUACUUUAUACUUCGUGUAAAAUGAUAUUUUAACAGCGGUUGAAAUUUUUAAUUGUUUUUGUUCUGGAGUCUGUAGAACUAGAAAAAAUAAAUCUUAGUAGGUUGUUGACAUAAUUUAUCAUUUUCUCUAACUACGUUUCCUACUUUUGUCUUUACUCAUUGGUUUCUUUUUACUUUCUAAUAAUUCCAAAGUUUCCCUUUUCUUUUCCUGUGAUUUUCAUUCUAUAAUUAUAUAUCUCAAUGAGCAUUUUCAACAAUAAUUG
rnacentral:lncRNA from 1 species